rnacentral:lncRNA from 1 species
AUUCGUCAACCACUAUGGAUAGUCGAUUUCAAAGAUGAAGUUAACCGCUAAUAAUUUGGCCACUUCGUCAUCGAUGAUCUUAUGCUUUUCUAGGGCAAAUAUCCUCCUCUUCUGCCUAAUAGGUUUUUGUGCAGGAUCCACACAUAGCCUGUGAACAACUACUGACUCAUCAAUCCCAAACAUGUCACUAGGUACCCAAGUAAAAAUAUAUACAUACACCAAUAACAACUCUAUCAAUCCAGUUCGAAAAGGUUUUUCCAACUCUAAACUGAUUUUCAUUAUACUCUCUUUGUUCCUUG